AAGAGUCUUCGGUAUGCUUGCCUGAUUCUGUAGUUGCAGGACAGAAGCGGUGCUUUUGCAGCAAGAAAUUUCAGUGGAAUCCAAUCAAUGGAACAUGUGACAUUAAGAAGUGUAGCGAAAAUAAACACUGUUCUAAAUACAUAAAUCAUAAGAAGCUAUAUCAAGGUGAAUGAUGAACCAACUGGAGGAGAUCAAACGUAGACGUCUCACUAUACAUACUAUCGGCCAGAUUUAGUUAGCUAUAUUAUAGUGAUGCGGUACUUGGUGGUUAGAAGGAAAAUGAUCUAUAUAUAUGUACUUAUUAGAAGUAUUUGUGGUACUAAAACAAAUAUUUAUUAGUUGGGUUUGAUUAAGUACAUUAAUUUUCGUUAAUUAGGAUUUGUCAUGUAUACUUUUAAUUUAAUUAGUUUUGGAAAUUAUAAUACGGAUAUGACAAUUAUUUUUGGCA